GUCGGCACCCCUAGAAUGGACCCUGCCCACAUCGGAGGGGAUAUGUCACCUUUGUAUGUGCCAAGAAAAAGAAAGUCUGUCCAGUCACAACCUAAAAGUGGAGUGCCAUGUCCAGUUGUUCAGCGAAUGCCAGAAAGAGCCUGUCAAUCAAAUGCAGUUGGAUACCCUAAGAAUGACGAGUCUCAAGCCCAAGAUGCUCUAAAGAUGAAAAGAACAUAUGGUAGAAAAAGGUAAGAG